rnacentral:misc_RNA from 1 species
UCUCCGUUGGUGAACCAGCGGAGGGAUCAUUACCGAAGUUACCUUCAAAACCCACUGUGAACCUUACCUCUCGCCGCGUUGUCUCGGCGGGAGGCGGUGUGCGUCGCGCGCCCUAGCGGGCCGCGCCGCUCCCGUCCCCGCCGGCAGCGCCAAACUCUAAAUGCACAGCGGACUGUACGUUCUGAUUUACAAAAAAAACAAGUUAAAACUUUCAACAACGGAUCUCUUGGUUCUG